AACCUGUUGAGGGAGGUGCAUGCAAAUUGUUCCUUCCUUAAAAUAAUGCCGUAUGCAGCUCUCAUGUCAUUGAUGACGGAGCAACUGGGCUUCUAAUAUAUCUUGAAAACAUUCAGAGCAGAAAGCAGUGGAUGAAGUGUUAGUAACAUAAUGCAAAAUAUGAUUUCCUGGAGUCUGUUCUUCAUAGUUACUAUUAAUGGAGUUUGGAGUGAAAUCAAACUGGAACAGUCUCCCUCCGAGGUGAAGAAACCUGGAGAGAAAGUGAAGAUGUCGUGUAUCACGUCAGGUUAUACAAUGACAAGCUUCUAUAUUAGCUGGAUACGACAGAGGCCAGGAAAUGCUCUGGAGUGGAUUGGGAGGAUGAACACAGGCAGCAACUCUGCUACCUUCAGCAGCUCCUUCCAAAGCCGUUUCAUCAUGACUGAAGAUGUGUCCAAGAGCACUCAGUACCUCGAGGUCACGAGCCUGACAGCAGAAGACUCAGCUGUUUACUUCUGUGCUCGAGACACAGUGACUGAAGACAGCGGAGCAGCUGAACAAAAACAUCCACACACAACAAACAGCAACUUGGGGACAUUUGGAUUUUCUCACAAACUGCAAAAGUACUUUAAUAUUUAUCCCCUUUAUUGUAUUUAAAAGCCAUGGCUAAAUAUGUAUUAUCUUCAUGAUGUCAAAUCACUCACAGUUAUAUAAAGUGUUUUUUAACUGUAAAAGCAUGAAUAAAUUCUGUAUUACUGAUGCCAUAAACUGUAAAAGAUAU